AAAAAAAGAUUACAUUAAGAAUUUUGUAUUUAAUUUUAAUCUUAUUUUC
rnacentral:tRNA from 1 species